CCAUCAUGUAAACGAAGAAGACAAAGAACUCAGUAAACAGGAAGAAAAUA
rnacentral:sRNA from 1 species